rnacentral:tRNA from 2 species
UGGGCUGUAGGCAAGUGGUAAGCCAUCGGCUUUUGGUGCCGCUAUUCACGGGUUCGAAUCCUGUCAGCCCAA